GUGAGGAAUAUUGGGCAAUGGGCGCAAGCCUGACCCAGCCACGCCGCGUGUGUGAUGAAGGCCUUCGGGUCGUAAAGCACUGUGGGGAGGGACGAAAAACCUCCGUUCGAAUAGGGCGGAGACUUGACGGUACCUCCUUAGCAAGCACCGGCUAACUCUGUGCCAGCAGCCGCGGUAAUACAGAGGGUGCGAACGUUGCUCGGAUUUACUGGGCGUAAAGCGCGUGUAGGCGGACUCGCAAGUCGGUUGUGAAAUCCCUGGGCUCAACCUAGGAACUGCAUCCGAAACUGCUUGUCUUGAGUAAUGGAGAGGGUGGCGGAAUUCCCGGUGUAGAGGUGAAAUUCGUAGAUAUCGGGAGGAACAUCAGUGGCGAAGGCGGCCACCUGGACAUUUACUGACGCUGAGACGCGAAAGCGUGGGGAGCAAACAGG
rnacentral:rRNA from 1 species